rnacentral:tRNA from 1 species
GUCUGGUUAGCUCAGGGGAAGAGCGCUAUGCUGAAAACUUAGAGGUCAUUAGUUCGAAUCUAAUACCGGACA